GGAUUAGAUACCCUGGUAGUCCACGCUGUAAACUAUGAGUACUAGCUGUUAAAUUCGGUGUAAAGGAUUUAGUAGCGUAGCUAACGUGUUAAGUACUCCGCCUGGGGAAUACGAUCGCAAGAUUAAAACUCAAAGGAAUUGACGGGGACCCGCACAAGCGGUGGAGCAUGUGGUUUAAUUCGAUGCAACGCGAAAAACCUUACCUGGUCUUGACAUCCUACAAAUUUUUUAGAAAUAAAAAAGUGCCUUUUGGAAUGUAGAGACAGGUGCUGCAUGGCUGUCGUCAGCUCGUGCUG
rnacentral:rRNA from 1 species